rnacentral:lncRNA from 1 species
UAUCCGAGCUCUUUACUCACGCCCACCCUCAGUGUGGAGGGUCCUUUUCUCCUUUUGCCAAAAUCCCACUAACUUGGAGCUCUCAGAGUACAGAUUAUACUUAUGUCUAAACUCCCCAGAAAGCUUAUAUACACGAAAGUUUGCACAUUAAGAAAAAGCAUGGGCCCUGAAUUCAGAUGGACUUGAAUGCAAAGCCUGGCUUUAUCACUUGAUAUAAAAAAGCAAAGGCCCUAAACUCUGUGAGCAUUGGUUUCAUCAUAUUUAGAAUUGAUUAACCAGAGGCUUAUUUUCCAAGUUAUUGUAAAGACCUGAUCUGUAAAGCAUAUAACACAAUGCAGGCAUGUAAGAGGCACCCAGUAAAUGGGAGCUAUUGGAAUAGUAGUAACUAUUACCACAUUGUAAUAUAUAAUCAAUAUAUAUUGGUUAAAUUAAACUAAAAUUAACAUAAUAAAUCUUUCCUGCCCUCCAGGAGGAUAUAAUCUAAUUGGGGAAAGCCACAUGCUAAUGUAAUUAACCAUUCUAAGUAAAAUGUAACAUGAAUGAAUGGAAUCAGCUGUAAGUUCCGAGGUUAUGUGAAGAGAAAGACUGACUUCCUCCCAGGGUGGAGAAGACGUCCCCUGAAAAAAACACAGGACCUCUGCAAAGUCUCCUGCAACAGGGAACCACCACAGAAAUAGGCCUGCUCUGAACAAUAAAGGGUCAUUCUCAUUUGUUUUCAUUUUUGUUUUCAAAUUAGGCAUGUUUCAAAUGAGUCAUUAAUCAUGUACUUACCUCUUUCUCCAUCUCUCUCAAAAGGAGAAAGGAGAAAGAAAACAUCUUAAACCACCAGGUCUGGGCUUUCCAGAUAUAAUUCCAGAAAGAAAGAGAGAGAGAGAGUUUGGGUACAUAGAAUGGUACCCCAAAGUAUGGUAUGAUGCUUUGGCAUACUGAGCACUUUUGAAUUAAAAUAAAUUGAAAAGCCUUAGAAACUGCCUCAGAACCAGGGACUUUCUAAGCUUCUCUUAUUUCUACCAUGUCCCCAACAAGUGUAGAAAGGUAUUCACUCUGG